rnacentral:rRNA from 1 species
CGCCUACGGGGGGCAGCAGUAGGGAAUUUUCGUCAAUGGGCACAAGCCUGAACGAGCAAUGCCGCGUGAGGGAAGAAGGUACAGCGUAUCGUAAACCUCUUUUGUCAGGGAACAAAGGCGGGGACUAGUCCCCGGAUGAGGGUACCUGAAGAAAAAGCAUCGGCUAACUCCGUGCCAGCAGCCGCGGUAAUACGGAGGAUGCGAGCGUUAUCCGGAUUUAUUGGGUUUAAAGGGUGCGCAGGCGGCCUGUUAAGUCAGCGGUAAAAGCCCGGGGCUCAACCCCGGCGAGCCGUUGAAACUGGCGG